UACGUAGGGGGCUAGCGUUGUCCGGAUUUAUUGGGCGUAAAGAGCGUGUAGGCGGCCUGGUAGGUCUGCUGUGAAAACUCGAGGCUCAACCUCGAGAUGUCGGCGGAAACCAUCUGGCUAGAGUCCGGAAGAGGAGAGUGGAAUUCCUGGUGUAGCGGUGAAAUGCGCAGAUAUCAGGAAGAACACCGGCGGCGAAGGCGGGUCUCUGGGCCAUAACUGACGCUGAGGAGCGAAAGCGUGGGGAGCGAACAGG
rnacentral:rRNA from 1 species